UACGUAGGGUGCGAGCGUUGUCCGGAAUUAUUGGGCGUAAAGAGCUCGUAGGCGGCUUGUCGCGUCGACUGUGAAAACCCGUGGCUCAACCAUGUGGUCUGCAGUCGAUACGGGCAGGCUAGAAUUCGGUAGGGGAGACUGGAAUUCCUGGUGUAGCGGUGAAAUGCGCAGAUAUCAGGAGGAACACCGGUGGCGAAGGCGGGUCUCUGGGCCGAUAUUGACGCUGAGGAGCGAAAGCGUGGGGGAGCGAACAGG
rnacentral:rRNA from 1 species